rnacentral:rRNA from 1 species
UACGUAGGGUGCAAGCGUUUGUCCGGAAUUAUUGGGCGUAAAGAGCUCGUAGGCGGUUCGUCGCGUCGGCUGUGAAAUCCCGAGGCUCAACCUCGGGUCUGCAGUCGAUACGGGCGGACUGGAGUACUGCAGGGGAGACUGGAAUUCCUGGUGUAGCGGUGAAAUGCGCAGAUAUCAGGAGGAACACCGGUGGCGAAGGCGGCAUCCUGGGACCAAUACUGACACUGAGGAGCGAAAGCCAGGGGAGCAAACGGG